AGUCCAUCUCCCAGGGCACUAGCCGAACCCCUGAGGGCUAUAGCCUGUCCCCAGGGUGCAUGAGAAUCCCGAGUUAAGCUACCAGUCCUAGUUAAACACGUCACACCUUAGGGUAUAUAAGCCACACACGUUUCUGAGCCUUCUUUGUCUACCUCAUUAUGUUGUGAAAUAAAGUAACCACGGAAGGAUCUGUGUGUCCUGUGUGUGUUACUGCGGGCAGGGACAAAGCUCAGGAUAGUUGGUGCUUGGAACCCGGGAAUACGCCUUACCAAUGCGCCCAGAGAGAAGACCCUCCGACCAACCGGAGCAGAUUCAGAACCUUGGUGGAUUCAGCUCCGAGAGGAUACUGGAAGAAGACAACCCAUUCUGGCUGCCGGAACGACUGACGUGAAGAAUUCUGACACCUGAAGAUGACUCCCGGAUGGAUCCCUUGGAAACUACCUCUAGUCCUCUUGCUACCUCUGUGGAUUUGGGUUCCUAGUAUAUUUGGAGAAUAUAGAUGGGCAAUUCUGUCUGCUUUCCCUAAGCCCAUGCCUGUUCGUCAUAAUACAGCUGUUUUUCCCAAGUUUUUUACGACCAAUAAAAUUUUAGGCCUACCAUACCUACCAUUUGACCCUAUCUGGGCACCACUGGGAGAAAAACACUCUAUAAGGGAACGAGGUUCUCUCUGUUUCCAAAUUUAUGAAUUGGGAGAUUGUAUCAGACUCACCUGCCAGGCUUUGGGAAUGUUUAUUAAGUAUGGAGGAGGCUUGGUGAAAAUAACCCAAGACACUUCCAACAGAGAUAUAACCUUUACAAAUCAGACCUUCUGGCAGGAGGCAAUUUGGGUUAAUGGUACAUUUCUACCACCUAACUUUUCAGACAAAGAACGCCCCAAUCAACCAAAAAUGGCUCCUCAUUGUAGCUUGGAAGAUGAAGGGCUGAUCCUGCCUUGGUCUGAUUGUCAAUCCUCCGUAACUCGUUGGGCAGAUCAGAGUAAAACCUUUUCCUUUUCUCCCAACAUGAUGGAUGACCCAGAGGAGAAAUUUGUUAUGAAAAAGGGACUUUUCAUACAGGACUUUAGAAUGUAUCCUUUUCAUAAAUGGGUACUUUGUGGGAUUAAUGGUAGCUGUACAGAUCUUAAUCCCUUGGUUUUCCUCCAAGGAGGAGCUGCUGGAAAAGCGAUUUUUAAUGGUAUUUCAAAAUUUGCUCAGUUUCAUCAAGUUCUGUUACCUGAUAGAACCAUUUAUCAAAAUUCUACCACUGAAAUCACUGGAUUUAAUAAGACCCUGAUAAAGCAGACUAAUUAUUCACCUACUCCAGUUUGUGUGUACACUCCUUUCUUGUUUAUUCUUUCUAACGGUUCCUUUGAAUCCUGUACUAAUGAAACCUGCUGGAUGUCACAAUGCUGGAACCUUAAGUGGGCCAGCCGUGCUAUGCUUGCCAAGAUUCCACGAUGGGUUCCUGUCCCCGUGGAGAUCCCUUCCACCAUAACUUUACACAGGCAAAAAUGAGACUUUGGUAUCACUGCAGCCAUUGUGGUGGUAAUGGCUGCCAAUGCGGUGGCAGCUACAGCUGCUGGAAUUGCUAUGGCAACAUCAGUCCAGUCAAGCACAACUGUCGAGCAGUUGUCCUCCUCUGUGGCAGAGGCGAUCGAUCAACAUUCAGUGCUCAGUGCCCAAUUAAAAGGUGGGCUAAUGAUAGUGAACCAGCGCAUUGAUCUGGUGGAGGAAAGGAUGGAAAUUCUGCUCCAAUUGGCCCAGCUUGGCUGUGAUAAGAAAUCAGGAGCCUUAUGUAUUACUAGUGUCCAAUAUGAAAAUUGGACACGUGCAGCUAAUCUAUCUAAAGAAUUGUCUUUGUUUCUUACAGGAAACUGGUCUGAAGGAUUUGACGAAAAGCUUGAGGCGCUACGUGCAGCAGUGAUGACCAUUAAUUCUACGUGCGUGGACCCAUCAUUGGUUGAUGGAAUCAAAGGACUUUCUUCCUGGAUGUCCUCUGCAUUCUCACAUUUUAAAGAGUGGGUGGGAGUGGGCCUGUUUGGCACAACCCUGUGUUGUGGACUAGUGUUUAUUCUUUGGCUGGUGUGCAAACUCAGAUCUCAGCAGAGACGUGACAAGGUGGUAAUUGCUCAAGCACUUGCUGCCAUAGAGCAAGGCACCUCCCCUAAAAUCUGGUUAUCUAUGCUAAAAUGACCUCACAAGCACUUGACUGCUCAGCUCUUGCACUCCUAGAGGCUAGUCUCAUUGCACAGGAUAAAGUGAGUAAGUUUCUGACUCUUAUGGAUUGCUGGGCUAAGCACCACAUAGGAGUUGCUCAGAGAUUCGAGUGCUCCUAGAAGACAAGUCGAUUUGCAAGAGGGUUGAGUGUCCAAGUGUCCCUCCCCUAGGAAAAAUGGCACGGGAGCAGGUCAGGGUUACUCUGGGAAAAAAACCUGUGAGCCUAAGAGCUAAUCCUGUACAUGGCCCCUAUUUCUGCACACUAGGGAUUCGACCUCUAUCUUCAUCCAUUAAAGAGUAGCUUGCAUUUUAAAUUUUAUAUUAAAAAGGGGGAGAUGUGGAAAGCCACAAUAUACGUGCGGUCACUAGAUGGUGCUAAACCUCCAUCGUGCCAAACCGAUCUCUUUGUCUAGAUCGGGCUCUUGUGCGCAGGUCCAAAGAGCAAAAGCCCGCCAAAAAGUCACCAGUCCAUCUCCCAGGGCACUAGCCCAACCCCUGGGGGCUAUAUCCUGUCCCCAGGGUGCAUGAGAAUCCUGAGUUAAGCUACCAGUCCUAGUUAAACACGUCACACCUUAGGGUAUAUAAGCCACACACGUUUCUGAGCCUUAUUUGUCUACCUCAUUAUGUUGUGAAAUAAAGUAACCAUGGAAGGA
rnacentral:lncRNA from 1 species